UGUUUACAGGCAGCAUUCCGCCGGUAGAGCCGCCGCGCGGUCGGUGGCGCGUGCGGACUGGAUGUCAAGCUAAGUGGAUCAGGAGUCGGCGAGCGGACGUAUUUUCAUCCUCGUUUCGCAUUUGCGAAGGUAUGACGAUUUCUCACAUUAGUUUUAGGUGAAAUAAUUCGACGUUAGCGCAACAUAUAACCGUUCCUUUCAGCUUUUCGACGCGGUUUAGCCGCCGCUGUGAAAAUCGUGCCCGAGUGUCGAGGCGGCUCCUUGCGGCGGAGGCGCCUCCGCGUUUUCCCGCCGCCUCGUCAGUUCGCAGGGAGCAGUGGUGAAAACAAACAGGUCGACCACAGAGGAAGAUUGGGUAGCCGGUUGGACGUGGAGGUUGUUUGGCGGCGGUUUUCGCGUCGUCGGUGCUAUUUCGGACUUCCGCGGAGCUUUGCCAUUUGCGCUUCCCGAGGAGUAUGUUGCCGCUUUGCCGCGUCUGGAUGCAGGCGCGUGUCUACCCGAUGCGGUUUUGUUUCCGUCCCCACGUUGUUUAGCGGUUAUAAUUCGACGUUUAAUGGUCUAAAAUCAGCCGGUUGCACGGUUGUUACACUUUUCGACAUGCACACGAGGCGUUUAGUGAAGCGCUCGAUCCUCGGUAGCCGCGUCUAUGCGCCCAGCCCGACGGGAGACGGCGCGCCGGUGAGCGGGGUGGUCCAGGCUGUCAAGCAGGAAAACAGAGAUGUGUCGGCCGUUGGAGCCCGGCGCAGCAGCGUCUACACCGUGCUCAUGCAGGACGGCAGCCUGAAGGAGUUCUCCGAGGAGGAGCUCGCCGCCGGCUUCAACCACACUGCGACCAAAGCACCGCUCAAGUCCAGCCUGAAGCAAAGUUCCAGCAAUGGAGCUCUAGAAGGUCAGAAAGGUGAAGGCACUUCUCACAGCCCGGAAGCAGCAGAGGAACAGCGAGUGUGGGACAACAAGCGUCGGGAUCCUGAAACCAGAUCAGUGUCCCUGCUGGAGCAAAAGCGAAAGGUGGUCUCUUCCAGCAUCGAUGUCCCUCAUGCCAGACGCUCAGAGGAAGAAGUGGACAUGGACAAGGUGACUGCAGCCAUGGUACUGACUAGUCUCUCCACCAGCCCGUUAGUUAGGAGCCCACCUGUCAAAGUCAGCGAGGGCCUGAGUAGCUCCUGGAAAGACAACAGCUCGGCGGGCCCCUUCACCCCGUCCAGCAACAGCUCUUCAGGGGGCUACUGGAGCUGGUCCGCCCCCAGUGACCAGUCCAAUCCUUCCACCCCAUCUCCGCCGCUCUCCGCCGAUAGCUUUAAGCCUUUCCGUGUGCCCAGCGUAGGUGGGGUGGGGCCCGGCCCUGCAGGGCCAGAGGACCCCAGUCUGGAUGAGCAAGACGGCAGCAGCCUCCUGUUUGACGAGCCCAUCCCUCGCAAGCGCAAGAACUCCAUGAAGGUGAUGUUCAAGUGCCUGUGGAAGAACUGUGGCAAAGUCCUGAGUACUGCUGCUGGCAUCCAGAGACACAUUCGCACCAUCCACCUGGGGCGUAACUGUGACUCAGACUGCAGUGACGGCGAGGAGGACUUCUACUAUACAGAGAUCAAACUGAACACGGACUCUGUGGCCGAUGGGCUGAGCAGCCUGUCCCCGGUGUCGACGUCCGUCCUCUCCCCUCCACCUCCUCCCCCUUCUCCUCUCCCAUCGCUCGGCCAGCUGUCCGACUCUCACAGACCUCCGCAGCCCUGCGACACCAAGGAGCCUCACGCUGGCGGCACCACCCCGCUCAGCCGCUCUGCGCCCAGCGCGCUCUACCUCAUUCACACAGACCACGCGUACCAGGCCACGGCUCCGGUGUCCAUCCCGUCCAGCAGCAGUAACAUGGCCAGCUCCGCCUGCACCAGCUUCACCCCCACCAACAGCUCUAGCUUUAGCAUCUCCUGGCAGUCACCACCCGUCACGUUCACCGGCAACGCGGUGUCUCCGAGUAAAAGUCAGAGCUUCAGUGAGCAGCGCUCCCAGACCAUCGGCGUCCUCUCAUCUCCUCCCAGAGCCACCACAGUCCUCAGUCGGAAGGUACGUGGUGAGGGGAAGAAGUGCCGUAAGGUGUAUGGGAUGGAGAACCGCGACAUGUGGUGCACAGCCUGCCGCUGGAAAAAGGCCUGCCAGAGAUUUAUCGACUGAGUGUUUCCUGCCAAUGCAACAGCAUGCCAUGCCAAAAGCCACAGAACGGUGGAGGAGCAACGUUUUGCAUGCAUUUGGUUUUCCUUCAGCUCAACACCAGAAGUGUUCGUCCCUGUUCUUGCCCGCCUCAUCUCUGCUGUACCAUCCCUGCUGUGGAAGGAACCAAACAAAGGUGCACCCACCUUUGUUGCUGUGCUGUCCAGUAUUCCCAGUACUGCCUUGCCAUUCCCUACAUUCCCAAUUUUGGGGAAACCCAGUGCAGCUAAACAGUGUAAAGAAAAACUGAGCUAAGUGUUUCUGCCAUUUUUUUUUUAUUUUAUUUUAUGUUUGGUUCAGUGUUGCAUCUUUCUAUGUUUUGAAAGUCUAGAAAAAGAAGGCGUCUGGAACAUGACCAACAGAUUUUGUUUUGUCCCCAAAAAAGGUCACUUUUUAUGAAAAGUCAAAUGGUCUCUGUGUCAGAGGUAGAAUUCAGUUUUUGUUCUUCAUGUUUUUUUUUUAUCUUAAUUUUGGGACUUUUGAAGCAGUUUUAUCAGAGACACAAACAUUGCUGCCUCUCAGUCGUUUCCUGGUCCUUUCCUCCUGACAGCCUGGUGGGAAGAGCUGGCACAGGCAGCAAGAGGACAAGAGGAGCGGACAUGCACAAGGGAAGCGAUCCUAAAGAAAGCAAAAACCAGCAGUUUAAACUCAGUUAUACCGAAUACAGACCACAACUCUCCAACCAAAAACCGCAUCCUCCUCUUGAUAGUUUUUGUUCAAGUGCCAUGUUAAACUGUUGAUGUACCUUUUUAUAUAUAUGUAUACUAAACCAAGACUGUUUACCACCUGCUUUGGAAAGUGUGCCGGAAGAGCUUCAACAUGAUUCGGGAAGCAUCAAAGGGACAGCUGGUGAGGUCAUAAAGCGAUAAGCAUCUUUACCACGUUGUCCUGAACUAACCAACAAUUACUAAAGGGAACUAACUUUGUUAUCUAAUCAGAGAGGGAGUGCUACAGCCCCAAAGUGAGGCAAAAAAAAAUUUUAAGCACUUGACUGGGCCUCUUAUGUAAUGUUAGCAUGCACAUAACCUCGUUACUGACACAGCUCAUGGUGGAAAUCGUUAAAGUAACACGUUUUCUGAUGAUUAGUUGAGAAUUUGCUAGAAGUGGGUAAAAUUUGUAAGCACUUGACUGGUCACUCAUGCUAAGAUGCGCUCCACACUGUGCUUAUUUGGCAACGUGCAGGCAGGUCUUUGACCACUAGGCUUGCGAUUGUCACGUAAUGUGUUAUUACUGAUGUGAGAAAUUGUGGAUCUGUUUAAAGUAAUGCCCCCCCACCCCCCAAAGAGUGUUUGCUAAAAAUUUUCUAGAAGAGUGGGUAAAAUUAUAAGCACCUAAAUCUCUAAUGUUUCCAUGCAUUCCACACGUCGUGCUUAUUUGCCAACAUGCAGUUACAUCUUUGACCACUAGGCUUACGAUCGUAACCUUGUUAUGACACUUACUGCUUGAAGUAAUGCUUUUUUGUUAUUGUUGUUUACUUGAUUUUGUUUUCUAGCAGUUCCAUCGCAGCUGAAAUUGUUUACAGGUGCUUUGUCGUAACGCGCGGACCAACGUUAGUCAGCUGCAUCCUCCGUUAUUAGGGUGCACUGCAAUCAAUCAGUUGUGCUUUUCCUUUUAUUCUCUUACAUUAGUCAAAAUAUGACAUGUGAUUGCACGCCAAAUGUUUUCCAAACCAACACCAGCUAAUAAACUCAUCUGCUAUCGCAUUUAGCUGGCAGCACUUCCACACCUGGAAAUUGUAGCUGUUUUAUUUGAUACAGCAUUUGUUUUGUUUUGUUUUUGUGUAUGUGUAUAUAUGUAUUUUUCUUUAAGCUCCUUGCUAUGACACCUAAUGAACAAGACUUAAGUACGAUGUAUGAGGUAAUAAUGUAGUGUCAAACCUUUUAGGCUACUGCUCUUUAAAGCCACUUGGUUUAUUUUUCUGUCAUUACCUUGGUGGUACAGUAAGAAAUACUUAUCAUAGAUUAUCUGGGAACAACUUCUUCCAUUGUAAGAUUCUUAAUGUUUUACUGUGUAAGAAGAAUGACUAACAGUAUAGUUAUAGAUGCUGAAUUUUAAACUCAAAGCCAAACUGAUAUUUCACCUGUUUUUUCUUGUUUUGUCAUAUCUACAUCUAUAUAUGAAUAUAUUUAUAUAUAGCAAAUUUUGUUUUCAUGUUCUGCUGAGGGUGUGUCGCUGCCCGGCACGCCUUCAUGUCACAGCUGAUUAAAACCUACCACGGCGUCACAUCAUGCAGUUAGUUUGAUACCGCUUCGUGCAUGCGUGCCUUUCCCUUGGGCACAGCGUGCGGGUUGCCAUGGUGAUGCGGUGCUACCCCUGCUGUUAGUUCCUCCUGAGAGCUGUGUGUCUUUAUCAGAUGUGUUAUUAUUAAUAUGGUAUUCCCCAUCGCUUUGUGUGCGGUGCAGAACCCCAAAAUUAAUACUUUAAGAUGUAGAAUGUUCGCAUCACAUACAUUACUCCCGACCCACUUUAGAUCUAUGUACCCAAAUCCAGAGUUCAGAUUGCUGGUUUGCUGUCCAUGCACGCUGCUGUCUUUCUUAUUGUGGUGCUUCAUGCUUGCACUCGGAUUGUCGCCUCAAGCUGCAGUCCAGGAACAGUUCCCUGCUACGGCUGCUUGUAGAACUGGACAUUUUAAGAGGCAGCUCAUUUUAAAGGAUGCUAAAAACUGAUGAAUAUUAUUCAGCUAAAAACCAAACUGCACCCUUGUUUUAGUUUCAUCCAGGUUCCCUCAGAAUCAUAUUAGAGGCUGUAUUUGUGAAACCUGUGCAUCUUCUUGCUGAUAAGCAGAGCCAAAGGGAUAUAGGGAUUUGUUUAUUGGCUCUGGUUUUGAUACACUAAAAAUAAUAAUACAUUUAUUUAUAAAGUGGUAAAAAACAUAACAUUAAUGAUCAGCAAUAGAGCAUAAAUGGGUUUUAAGACUCAUCUUAAAAGAAUCAAAGGACGCGGCCUUUCUAAUCCCAACAGGCAGGAAAAAACUAAAGCUGCAUUCACAUGCUGACGGUAGAAAGUCCGUUAUACCUGUCAUUACAGCAUGAUUACUGUUGUCUGCAGUAACAGACUAAAUUAUGUGAAACUGGGUCAUUUUUUCUGGGUUAAUGAGAUGGGUAAUAAUUAGCUUUUGUAAAAAAAGAUACAAUGGCGUUUUUGCAAAGUUGUUACAUUAAAAUGUCAAGCUUUGGUUCUGACGGUUGUUUAAAAAGUCAAGCCACAGCUCAGUUUCUUUCUGUAAUAUUUAUUGCAGGUAAUUAUACACUAAUGAAUAGAUGGUUAUGAAUGCUAUAUUCCAUUUUUGCUAAUAAACACCCUAAUCUUACACACUAGCUUUAAAGUCCAUCUCUUGGUGUUUGUUUUUCCCCUUUGCUCAAGAUAAAAUAAUGUCCGGUUUGUCCUUGUUAUUACUGCAGCAGUUGGAAAACGUUGAAGAUUUUUAACUUUUGACCGUAAAAGAUGCUGCAUUCACUGCCACCUGUGGCAAAAUUUUCUGUCAUCCUCUCAGUGAAAACAACAAAACAUCCGGUUUCAGAUUUCCACUUACAGCCAUGUGAAUGCAGUGUUAAAAACCGUUUUAGCCACGUUUCUUAUUCGUAGCUCAGAACUGGCCUUGGCUUUGAGAGCGCCUUUUUGUGUACUGCACAGUCUCAUAUUGGGAGGAGUGAAGGCGCCAUUUCUUCCUGCAGGUCUCACGUCGUCUAUAAUCGACUCCCGUUUUGUACGUAACGGUGUGCUGUGGAACAUGAAAACAAAAGCUGUCUGUCUCAAGUCUUAACAAGCGUCCAGAAGCAACUUGGUGGGUUGUUCUGGUUCUUUUGUUUGUUUUGUUUUGUUUUUUCUCUUAAAUUUUUCUGAUUUUUAUGUGUUUCACCAAUUCUGAUCAAGCAAAACUGAUGGGUUUAAAAGAAUGUGGAAUCAAUGUCAUAUUGUGUAUAACAAUCAGACUACAAGUGCAAGUUCUUAUGUGCAAACAUGGAAAACAUUUCUUUGCUCCACAUACCAAAGUGAUAUUCAGAUUUCUUUGCGUUUCCCAUCUUGUACAUUCUACACAACUGAUUCAAAAGUGUGGAAAGGUCAUGAUUCAUUUGUGAUUCAUUUGUGUUUGAAAUUUCUGACAAUUUAAUUCCUUUUGGGUAAAGCCGGCCGAGCGGAGACGUUAUCACGAGGUUGAUCAUUUGACUCCUAAUUGACGUGUGCUGAAUGUGACCUGCGGUCGCGGCUUCCUGAUCGGAUUUGGUGCUGAUUGAGCGUUGCGCUCUGCAUCGAGCCCGGCCGGUGACCUCAGCAAACCACGCUAAGUGGCGCUGAAACUGUAGUGAGCGUGAUUUGAAUACUUAUGAGGACUUUGUCUUGGCUUUUGUUCUCAAGCUUUGUUGUCUAUUACAGGGCAGAGCUGUGACUUAUAAAUGGAAUAAAUCAAGAGCGUCACUGUGCUUAUUAAAAUCUCUUCUGAAUUAGGAUGACAACAGACCCUCAGUGUAUGAGUGCCCUGCCACGUGUAUGCGUUGACAUUUGAUGACACCAAUACAAACAACAUCAAAAUUUCAUACAUGACAACACUUGUUUGUGACAAGAGGCUGAUAUUAUUCCACGUUGUAUCCAAGUCAGUAUAUGCUACAGUAUAUACAGAUCUAAGCUACAGUAACAGUGUGUUUUUGCUACUUUUGAUGUAAUAUAUCGGACUUUCCUUGUUGUAUUAAGUUUAAUUUUCAGUGUUUACUCUGGUUGCAUAUUAGCAGGUCGCCCGGUUCUGGUGGUGAUGUCCCUCCUCCUAUAUGAAUUCGGGGCUUCGGCGUUGUUUGUGCAGCGCUCGAUGUUGUAUAGAAAAUUUCCGGGUGGCCUGCAUAAGUAAAGGUGGAGCAUCACGCCAACCGUAUGGCUAGUUCCCAUGGUAAUCAUUGCUGACUGGCAAGUUAUGCAUCUUAGCUCCUAUGUGUUUGGCAGUGCCAUGGCGGGAUGGCAUUGAUACAGAGAGGAGAGGCCGUCCCUCCUGUGUGCAGAAAUGUGGAGGAGUUGAAAGAAGUUUAAAAUAAAAAAGGCUCCUGUAAUCAUUGUAUUUGGUUUUUCACCUCGGACAUUUGUAUUAGGGAGAAGUGAAGCCCGUUUGUUGUGAGACGUGUGUACAGGAGCUGCUUCAACUUGGAAUCUACAGUAAGAGUCCUGAAUGUGCCUUGAUGAGUGCAGAGCUUCUAGCGUGAACCUCUCCUGUGGCUCUAGAGGUCUAGAAGUCUUCUGCUGAGGUGCGUCGCUGUGAUGUGCGCAGUCGACCGUGAUGGAAUGUCUCUGGUGCUGGCUAGUCUGAGUUCUGCUUUCUGUAACUUUUUAAUAUGUGAUGAUGAAGAAACAUGAGUUGUGUCUAGUGGCCCCUUUGGCCCUUCUUGGUUUUAGCUCUGUCUUGCUGUGAGGAACCUUCAGUGUCUAAGAGCAACUUUUCUACUCUUGGCUGUAACUUUUUGAUCCAACCUAUUGAUGAUACUGUUUUGUUUUAUUUGUUUGUUUUUCCUUUUUGCCGGUUUGUCUUUUCUUUGGCUUCCAAAACACGACUCCUCUAAUUCCUUUUGUUGUAAGGGCUUGUGGGUAAAUGUGAAGAAUUUCUGUUGUGUUGCAAACGUUUGGGAACUCAAGGAACCCUCAUUCAGCAAACAGCAUGAGAAACAGCUGGUGAGAUGAUCCGAUUUUUAAAAGCAGAGCUGCACUAUGUGCAUGACGAUGACUGAAUAAUAAUAUUCUAGAACAGUCAUUUCCAAAGUUAAGGAUGGUGGGGGCCACUUUGAAGACAUAAAAUACUCUGGGGGCCAGCCAACCCUUUAAUCAUAAUUUUGAUUGACGGCUGCUAUAUCUUCGUGGCCGACGAGAGUCCACGGCCCACACUUUAGGAAUCACUGUUCCAAAAAAAAAAAGGUGUUUUUCGGGGAGGCUCCAUGAUUGGCUUAGCUCAUUCAGAAAUUGUAACUCAGAUAUGCAACAAAGAGAGUGGGGUUGAGGGGGGCGCCUCCUCCCUCUCUUGAAAUCGGUCUGUCUCAUUAGCUGCUUCAUCUGUUAUUACAAUCACGUAGACCUCAAGAACUCGACUGUCGCACUGGAUUUUUAUGCUCUUCUUUUGUUUUUGUUUUUCCUUACUGUACAUACACUAUAUGCUCUGGUCUAACUGUUUAUUUUUACUACUGCAUGUGCAUGCAAAUAAGAAAAUUAUGGAAUAGAUGACUUUAUAUAAAUGUGCUCUAUUUGUGCUGCGGUGUCCAUGACGACGGGGUUCAGAGCAGCCGGGGUUGUUGCUUUUGUUUACGUCGCGUGUUGUGCUGCAGAAGUGCCUGCUGA